UCUAACUACCCGAGAUAAUGAUUGAUGUGACGAUCACACGAUUUUUUUGUGAUCGUCACAUCGUUAAUUAUCUCGGGUGGUUA
rnacentral:pre_miRNA from 1 species